rnacentral:rRNA from 1 species
GGAAUUGGCGGGGGAGCACUACAACGGGUGGAGCCUGCGGUUUAAUUGGACUCAACGCCGGAAAACUCACCGGGGGCGACAGCAAUAUGUAGGUCAAGCUAAAGACUUUACCAGAAUCGCUGAGAGGAGGUGCAUGGCCGUCGUCAGUUCGUACUGUGAAGCAUCCUGUUAAGUCAGGCAACGAGCGAGACCCGUGCCCACUGUUGCCAGCAUGUCCUUCGGGAUGAUGGGUACUCUGUGGGGACCGCCGAUGCUAAAUCGGAGGAAGGUGCGGGCUACGGUAGGUCAGUAUGCCCCGAAUCUCCCGGGCUACACGCGGGCUACAAUGACUGGGACAAUGGGCUCCUACCCCGAAAGGGGAUGGUAAUCUCAUAAACCCAGCCUUAGUUCGGAUCGAGGGCUGUAACCCGCCCUCGUGAAGCUGGAAUCCGUAGUAAUCGCGUUUCAACAUAGCGCGG